rnacentral:rRNA from 1 species
AUAAUAGUAACGGCGUAAAGCACGACUAAUAAUAUGUCUAAACAUUAGGAAAGAAACCAAGCCGGGCUGUAAAAAGCCAUAAGCCACACUAACUGCCCUAAUAACAAACAACUACCACUCGUGAAAGCUAGGACACAAACUAAGAUUAGAUACCUUACUAUGCCAAGCUAUAAUAUAACAAUUAAAUCACCCAUUGUUCGCCAAACAACUACGAGUAAAAACUUAAAACUUAAAAGACUUGACGGUACCUCAAAACAACCUAGAGGAGCCUGUCUAAUAACCGAUACUCCACGAUUAAUCCAACCCACCCUAGCCUUAACAGUCUAUAUACCGCCGUCGCCAGCCUACCUUGUGAAAGAAACAAAGUGAGCCAAAUAGCUAUACGCUAAUACGACAGGUCGAGGUGUAACUUAUGGGGGGGAUAAGAUGGGCUACAUUCUCUAACUCAGAAAACACGAAUGAAUCUAUGAAACAGAAACUGAAGGCGGAUUUAGAAGUACGGUGGGAACAAUAUACCCAACUGAAACUAGUGCAAUGAAGUGCGUACACACCGCCCGUCAUCCCUGUAAAUUAACUAAAAACAUACAUAAU